rnacentral:rRNA from 1 species
UACGUAGGGUGCGAGCGUUAAUCGGAAUUACUGGGCGUAAAGAGUGCGUAGGCGGUUCUUUGAGUACGCUGUGAAAGCCCCGGGCUUAACCUGGGAAUGGCAGUGGAAACUAGAGGACUUGAAUCCGGCAGAGGGGGGUGGAAUGCCACGUGUAGCAGUGAAAUGCGUAGAGAUGUGGUGGAACACCAAUGGCGAAGGCAGCCCCCUGGGGUGAGAUUGACGCUCAGGCACGAAAGCGUGGGGAGCAAACAGG